rnacentral:rRNA from 1 species
CAGCGACGCUUAUGCGUUGUUGGGUAGGGGAGCGUUCUGUAAGCCUGUGAAGGUGUGCUGUGAGGUAUGCUGGAGGUAUCAGAAGUGCGAAUGCUGACAUAAGUAACGAUAAAGCGGGUGAAAAGCCCGCUCGCCGGAAGACCAAGGGUUCCUGUCCAACGUUAAUCGGGGCAGGGUGAGUCGACCCCUAAGGCGAGGCCGAAAGGCGUAGUCGAUGGGAAACAGGUUAAUAUUCCUGUACUUGGUGUUACUGCGAAGGGGGGACGGAGAAGGCUAUGUUGGCCGGGCGACGGUUGUCCCGGUUUAAGCGUGUAGGCUGGUUUUCCAGGCAAAUCCGGAAAAUCAAGGCCGAG